UAGGAGGAGGGGCAAGUCCCACGCGGAAGUCAGGUAGAUGUGCCACCUCCCAGCCGGCUGCACUCGGUCAGCCACCUGCCAGGACUCCAGGACGCGGCAUGCAGGGCUACGAGAGCCUCCCGAUCCUGGUGGGAACAGAAGCGGACAGCUUCCCGCUGAGGGAGAUCCAUGCUUGCAAGACCGAGGCCUCUGAGCAAUGGGACUAUGUCCUCGUGGCCAACCGUAGCACCCAGGGAAAGCCCAGGCAGGUGUACCAGCAGCAGCAGUUCCUGGAGGAGCUCAGGAGAAAGGGCUUCUAUUUCAAGGUGAAUAGAGACAAGAAAAAGGUGUUCUUUGGGAUCCGAGCCGACAACAGCAUCUUUGACCUGUACCGCGCCCUGCUCCUGGACCCCGAGGGCCCUGGGUCCAGAGUGGAGCCAGAGACAGAGACGCUGAGCCCCAUCCCAGCCACCACCAGAAUCCGAGUCCUGGACUUCAUCCUGAGAAAGACAACGGCAGAUGGAAAGACAUUCGAGGAUUUGGUGAAGGAUGGAGUCUUUGAGACCAAGUUCCCCCUGCACAAGGGGGAGGCAGAGCUGAAGAAGACCUGGGCCCAGUGGAGGAAAAUGGGCCGCAGGCAGCCCAUCGACCAGAUCAGGGACUACUUCGGUGAGAAGGUGGCGCUCUACUUCGUCUGGCUCGGCUGGUACACCUGCAUGCUGGUGCCCGCAGCCCUGGUGGGCCUGGGCAUCUUUCUGAGCGGGUUCACUCUCUUCGAGUCCAGCCAGAUCAGCAAGGAGAUCUGUGAUGCCCACACCAUCUUUCUGUGUCCUCUCGGCGACCACGGCCGGAAGUUCCAGCGGCUCUCAGACACCUGCACCUUUGCCAAGCUCACACACCUCUUCGACAACGACAGCACGGUGGUGUUUGCCAUCUUCAUGGCUCUGUGGGCCACGGUGUUCCUGGAGAUCUGGAAGCGGCAGCGAGCCCGCGUGGUGCUGCACUGGGACCUGUACGGGUGGGACGAGGACCAGGAAGAAAUGGCGCUCCAGCUCAUUAACUGCCCCGACUACAAGCUCCGGCGGCACCAGCACUCCUACUGGCGCAGCAGCAUCAUCCUCGCCGUGUCUCUGCUCAUGAUCUGCUUCAUGAUCGGCAUGGCCCACGUCCUGGUGGUCUACCGCGUGCUGGCCGCCGCCCUCUUCAGCAGCUUGGCCUUGCCCUUCCUGGAGGAGCAGGUCACCACGGCCGUGGUGGCGACCGGGGCCCUGGUGCACUACAUGACCAUAGUCAUCAUGACCAAGGUCAACAAGGCGGUGGCCCUGAAGCUUUGUGACUUUGAGAAGCCCAGGACCUUCGCGGAGCGGGAGAGGAAGUUCACGGUCCUGUUCUUCAUCCUGCAGUUCUUUGCACACUUCUCCUCCCUCGUGUACAUUGCCUUCAUCUUGGGCAGGAUCAACGGCCACCCUGGGAAGUCCACGCGCCUGGCCGGCCUUUGGAAGCUAGAGGAGUGCCACCUCAGCGGCUGCAUGAUGGACCUGUUCCUGCAGAUGGCCAUCAUCAUGGGCCUCAAGCAGACGCUCAGCAACUGCUUCGAGUACCUGUGCCCGUGGCUGGCACACCGCUGGCGCUGCUUGUUCGCCUUGGAGCCCCAGGACCCCGAGCUCAGGGACUGGCAGCGCAACUACCUCCUGAACUCCGUCUAUCCCUUCAGCCUGUUCGACGAGUUCAUGGAGAUGAUGAUCCAGUACGGCUUCACCACCAUCUUCGUGGCCGCCUUCCCGCUGGCGCCGCUGCUGGCGCUGUUCAGCAACCUCGUGGAGAUCCGCCUGGACGCCAUCAAGAUGGUGCGGCUGCAGCGGCGGCUAGUACCGCGCACCGCCAAGGACAUCGGGACCUGGCUGCAGGUUCUGGAGACCAUCGGUGUGCUAGCGGUCAUCGCCAACGGGAUGGUCAUUGCUUUCACGUCUGAGUUCAUCCCGAGAGUGGUCUACAAGUACCGCUAUGGCCCGUGCCGACAGGGGGCUCACUCUGAAGUUGAGUAAGGCCUCAAGCUGUCUGACCCCUGGGAGGAACUGGCCCCACCACAGCCAAGCCCCAGGGGAGCCCCAACCCUUUAUCCAGGGAAUGGCUGGAUCACCUGCGGGGUGGGGGGAGGGGUGGCGCUGUCCUGCCCUAACCUGCAGACCCUGGGCUGGAGCUCAGGGAUGACUGACCUAGGCCCUCACUGGGGGUGCAGGUCCCAGCUCCAGCUGUUUUCUGAGCAGGCACCACCAGAACGCUCCGCUCCCAAACUAGGUCCUUGCUUCUGGUGUGGGAGGGCAGAGCAGAGUCUCACCCAACUGCUCUGGCCCUCAAGGGGCCAUCACAGCUGCAGACCAGGUCUCCAGAGGCUGCCUCACAGGCUACGUCAACCACAGCCUGUCCAUCUUCUACACCAAGGACUUCCAGGACCCCGCUGGGAUAGAG